UACGUAGGGGGGCUAGCGUUGUCCGGAAUCAUUGGGCGUAAAGAGCGUGUAGGCGGUCCGGUAAGUCCGCUGUGAAAGUCGGGGGCUCAACCCUCGAAUGCCGGUGGAUACUGUCGGGCUAGAGUCCGGAAGAGGCGAGUGGAAUUCCCGGUGUAGCGGUGAAAUGCGUAGAUAUCGAGAGGAACACCUGCGGCGAAGGCGGGUUGCUGGGCUGAUACUGACGCUGAGGCGCGAAAGCCAGGGGAGCGAACGGG
rnacentral:rRNA from 1 species